rnacentral:rRNA from 1 species
CAGCAGCCGCCACGGUAAUACGGAGGGUGCAAGCGUUAAUCGGAAUUACUGGGCGUAAAGCGCACGCAGGCGGUCUGACAAGUCAGAUGUGAAAUCCCCGGGCUUAACCUGGGAACUGCAUUUGAAACUGUCAGGCUGGAGUCUUGUAGAGGGGGGUGGAAUUCCAGGUGUAGCGGUGAAAUGCGUAGAGAUCUGGAGGAAUACCGGUGGCGAAGGCGGCCCCCUGGACAAAGACUGACGCUCAGGUGCGAAAGCGUGGGGAGCAAACAGGAUUAGAUACCCGUGUAGUCCCUGUCUCUUU